rnacentral:tRNA from 1 species
UGGCUCAGUGUGGUAGAGCAUGGUGUUUGCAACGCCCAGGGUUGUGGGUUCGAUUCCCAC